rnacentral:rRNA from 1 species
AACGAACGCUGGCGGCGCGCCUAAUACAUGCAAGUCGAGCGAGAAGACGUAGCAAUACGUUUGUAAAGCGGCGAACGGGUGAGGAAUACAUGGGUAACCUACCCUCGAGUGGGGAAGUAACUAGCCGAAAGGUUAGCUAAUACCGCGUACGCUCCUUGGACUUCGGUUCAGGGAGGAAAGACGAUACCGUGGGUAGUCGCGCUCUUGGAGUGGGCGUCAUGUCCUAUCAGCUUGUUGGU